CUGUUUAUAACAACCACACAUCUACCAGUCUCCCAUUUCCAUUGCCAUAACUCUGACGUGUCCCAUUUCUACCCCUUCACACUUUCCACCUCUUAUAUUUUGUGUAUUCAGCCCCUCGUUCUGCAAACCAGGACCUGCUCAGAGCAAGGAUCUUCCUAACGUGCUGUAUUCAUACGUACCAUGAACAAGUAUGCAGAAAGGGGUACCUCCCGCAGUGAAUUCACAGUGACAGCUUUGUGACAGUGCCUGUUGUAGAGACAUCUAUACGCUGAAGGUGUCAGAGGUAAUGACAAUUCUGCUCUGUCUGAGCAUUCAUGGACAUGUGAAUUGGGGCAACAAGCAGAGACAAGAGACUGGAGAGCAGCACAGAAGUUCCUGAGCUAAAAGAGCCAAAAAAUGGAAAGUGUAAAGACCAGUAUCGAUCAAGCAGACUGAGUCAGAAUCUGCUCAUGAAAUGUGUUUGCUUGCUAAUAAAUCUUGCGACGAUACUUUCUCCAUCCCUUCUGUAGUAGAUAGCUGUGCUACUGCUUAUCAAAGAAUGAGAUAAAGAAAACAGCAAAGAGCAUGAGCAUGCACUCAGUGAAGACAGUAUUCUCUUGAGAGACAGUUGUCUGGGUAACAGCCUUGUUCCCGGAAUUAUUUGUGCAUUUUUAGCCAUUUUUCAGUACAAUAUAGUGGUGUGGACCACAGUUCAGGACAACCCUCUCCCAAAAGAUCUUCUUUUAUCUUCACAGUACUGGUUUAUAUUAAUUUGUUCAUAAAUGCUGUAUCAAUCAGCAGCUCAAAAUGUCAUAGUCUUGUUCAAUGAAAUCAGUGAAAGCCAUUGUGACUACUAUGAUUUGUGCAGCAUCCAGUGCAGUGAAUGUGCUUCAGGUAUGACAGACCUUCACUGACAUGGUGAGAGGAACAUCUUGCUUCCAAGAUCUCAAAUGGCUUCAGCAGAUGUGCUGAGAAAUUCAGUUCUGAAACAAACACCAAGCAGAGGCCAGUGAUGACAGAUUCCAGCUCCAAGCCAUGCAGGAUAAAAAGUAGGCAGAAUUGAGGCUGAAUAACACAGCAGAAGCAAAAGUCAUGCAGGACAGUCCCA